rnacentral:rRNA from 1 species
CCUACGGGAGGCAGCAGUGGGGAAUAUUGGACAAUGGGCGCAAGCCUGAUCCAGCCAUGCCGCGUGAGUGAUGAAGGCCUUAGGGUUGUAAAGCUCUUUCAGUGGGGAAGAUAAUGACGGUACCCACAGAAGAAGCCCCGGCUAACUUCGUGCCAGCAGCCGCGGUAAUACGAAGGGGGCUAGCGUUGUUCGGAUUUACUGGGCGUAAAGCGCACGUAGGCGGAUCGAUCAGUCAGGGGUGAAAUCCUGGAGCUCAACUCCAGAACUGCCUUUGAUACUGUCGAUCUCGAGUCCGGAAGAGGUGAGUGGAACUCCUAGUGUAGAGGUGGAAUUCGUAGAUAUUAGGAAGAACACCAGUGGCGAAGGCGGCUCACUGGUCCGGUACUGACGCUGAGGUGCGAAAGCGUGGGGAGCAGACAGGAUUAGAUACCCUGGUAGUCCACGCCGUAAACUAUGAGAGCUAGCCGUUGGGAGAUUUAUCUCUCAGUGGCGCAGCUACGCAUAAGUCUCUCCGCCGUCGGGGAGGUACGGUCGGCGAAGAAUUAAAACUUAAAAUUAGUAAGUUAGACGGCGUGAGACGUGCCGACGGACGACGACGAGGGAGGAGG